CUUCAUCCCAUUCGGUGUCUCCUCUACAAACAUUUUUAGUCCACCUGAUUUGUGUAGUAGGCUUAGGCGCCGGUUUCUGCGUGGCCCACAACGUCUAUUCCAUCAAUCUCAUCUUUCAUCCUUCGGACAAUCUCCGUCUGAUCUGGGUUAUCGAGAGCCCAAUUGUUAUUCUUCUUUACAGCUAUUUUCGGAAAAAUCCCGACAAAUCCUCGGGGCUCUUGUAAAUGCUUUAGGAGCUAUUGCUUUUUGUGCACCUGUGGGCAUUUAGUAUGUGAAACAAGGGCAGAUAAAAAUUUGUGCCUUUUACUGUUAUUAUGAAAACAGAAGCCACAGUUGAGGUCAAAAUGGGUUCACUCAUAGUUCCUUAAACAACAACUUUCUUCACUGUCAGGUAUAUGACAAAUACCUUUAAUUGGUCUCUUUUAAUGUCACUGUUCACUUUUGUGCCUGCUACUUCGGUAUAUGGUUCAUCGUGGGAAGAUUGGCUACAUAUAUUCGCACAUACGAAGUGUGAUCAAGCUGUACCUUGUUUUUGUCUUUUGCAAAAAGCAUACGCAAAUCUCCCAUAUAUGAAAGGCAAACAGAUCUUCCUGCACAAUCAAAGACCUAAUCAUAACUCUAGCAACUCUAAAAUGAAUGAGCAGUAACAUGGAAGCAAACCUGUGUGAAUUUGGAGGGCAAGAGAAUAAGACAAUGCAGCCCUCAAAUUAACAGAGUUUUUAUUUGCAAUAUCCAGAUUAUCCACAAGUAUCUGUACCUGCACAAGCAACACUAGGCUCCCUGAGAUUGGUAAAUAGUACUAAUAUAUGAGACGACAAACUCAAUUUUCAGAUCUCAGGUCAUGAUUAAGAACCAAAAUCAGUGCAAAGAAAGUAGAAGAUAACUAAUGAAAAGCACAGUUUAGGAGAAGAGGAAUUAAGGAUGAUCAGCUAAACAUAAGAUCUCCUAUCACUCGUCAAAUGACAUCUAAGCAGAUUAUAUAGAAAAAGAAAAAUGUUAAAUCCACGGCUGAAUUUGUUAGGGACUGAGCACUACAUGAUUAAUGAAAGACAGGAUAAACAAGAUUUUUUUUUCGAUUUAUUUAUAAGCAUGAAAUCUUAUAAAUUUUCUGCAAAUGAUAAAUUACAGCCUUUUAAGAGAAGUCAAUUUCUUAUAUGGAC